rnacentral:rRNA from 1 species
UACGGGGGGGGGCAAGCGUUGUUCGGAAUUACUGGGCGUAAAGGGCUCGUAGGCGGCCAACUAAGUCAGACGUGAAAUCCCUCGGCUUAACCGGGGAACGGCCUCUGAUACUGGCUGGCUGGAGUUCGGGAGAGGGAUGCGGAAUUCCAGGUGUAGCGGUGAAAUGCGUAGAUAUCUGGAGGAACACCGGUGGCGAAGGCGGCAUCCUGGACCGACACUGACGCUGAGGAGCGAAAGCCAGGGGAGCAAACGGG